CCGGCGUUGUCGAAGUAUGUAUGUAGCUGUAUCACAACAAAAUGGAUAAUUUUACUGAGUGUAGACUUCACAGAGUAACAAAUCUCGUUGCAGCUUACAAAGUUAGCUAAAAACAUCUGCAAAUGUGUUAGGAAAUAAUUGCGUUGUGUCCUGCCAUGAAGGAAACUGUUCCCGCAUCACUGGCCUCUGGAGAAAAUGAUGCUCUCUGCUGCAUUCCCUCCUGUGGACACUUUGAUUCUUCUGCUGACUUGUUGAUGUUUCUACGGACAGCAUCCCAUCUGUCCGUAUGUUCUUUUAAUUGCCCUGCAACCGGGAACCUGACAAGGAUCCCACUGUCUGCUGUUACUGGAAACAACGAUAAAUAAACUUGAUCG